rnacentral:rRNA from 1 species
GAUGAACGCUGGCGGCGUGCCUAAUACAUGCAAGUCGAGCGAACAGACGAGGAGCUUGCUCCUCUGACGUUAGCGGCGGACGGGUGAGUAACACGUGGAUAACCUACCUAUAAGACUGGGAUAACUUCGGGAAACCGGAGCUAAUACCGGAUAAUAUAUUGAACCGCAUGGUUCAAUAGUGAAAGACGGUUUUGCUGUCACUUAUAGAUGGAUCCGCGCCGCAUUAGCUAGUUGGUAAGGUAACGGCUUACCAAGGCAACGAUGCGUAGCCGACCUGAGAGGGUGAUCGGCGACACUGGAACUGGGACACGGUCCAGACUCCUACGGGAGGCAGCAGUAUGGAAUCUUCCGCAAUGGGCGAAAGCCUGACGGAGCAACGCCGCGUGAGUGAUGAAGGUCUUCGGAUCGUAAAACUCUGUUAUUAGGGAAGAACAAAUGUGUAAGUAACUAUGCACGUCUUGACGGUACCUAAUCAGAAAGCCACGGCUAACUACGUG